rnacentral:rRNA from 1 species
AGUGAACGCUGGCGGCAUGCCUAACACAUGCAAGUCGAACGGCAGCACAGUAAGAGCUUGCUCUUACGGGUGGCGAGUGGCGGACGGGUGAGGAAUACAUCGGAAUCUACUUUUUCUUGGGGGAUAACGUAGGGAAACUUACGCUAAUAGCGCAUAUGACCUACGGGUGAAAGCAGGGGAUCUUCGGACCUUGCGCGAUUGUAUGAGCCGAUGUCGGAUUAGCUAGUUGGUGGGGUAAAGGCCCACCAAGGCGACGAUCCGUAGCUGGUCUGAGAGGAUGAUCAGCAACCCGGGAGAGGAGACACGCUCCAAACUCCUACGGGAGGCACCGGUGGGAAAUAUUCGAGAGGGAGCGGAAGCGUAUACCAGACAUACCGGGUAGGUGAAAAAGACCUACGGGUUGUAAACCCCUUUUGUAGGGAAAGAAAAGCAGCAGGUUAAUUCCGCACUGUUCGAACGGAACCCAGAGAAUAGACACCGGCAAAUUCCGU